GGCACCAGGAACGUGGGGAUCACCAGAAAUCACGGAACUUUAAGCUCAGCUGUGAAAGCCUUGGGUUCCAUCCUUGUGGUCAGAGCAGCUGUGGUGUACCCACUGGAGACCCUCAAAAGAUUGCUUCCACGAACAUGCCCUCCUGAAGAGUCAAGAGCUCAGAGGCACAUCCUUUCCUCAAAGAGUGAAAAAUAAAAGCAAGAAACAAUCCUGGAGGAAGACAAACUGUGCUCCGUAUCUCUGGCAUCUAUGUUCUUCUCUAGGAGACUCUCUGGUUGUGUUUGUUUGGAAGGUGACCUCAGUAAGCAUGGAGCUAGAUGUCAACUGACGAGACGCUUCUGAGAGGGACUCAAAACUGCCGACCUUGGGAAUUUGCUUGAGAGGAGAGAAAUUCUUGGCCACCGAGAGAGUGCUGAGAAGACAGGGGAGUGAAAAGAAUGUGUCAACAGAGUGAGCCAAGCCCAGGGGACAUGGCAGAGCACCACAAGAAACCAUUGCUCGGCAAAGGACUCCUCAGAUGAGAGUGUACAAAAUAUGAUCAUCCCUCAUCACCAGGGGUAGCCCUAGGAUCCUUGCCCAGGGUACCACAAUCUUAGAGUACUCAAGUCCCUUAUAUAAACAGCAAGAUGAAUUAGGGCUGCAGCUUGGCUGGACGGAAUGUGCUAAGCAUUCAAGGGACCCUGUGUUUAAUCCCCAGCACUAAAGAAAUGGGUAAACUAGAAUAGUAUAGUAUUCUAUAGACCUAAUAUGACCUAACGUACUUAUCCAGAUUACUAUUUUAAUAUCUGGCAUAGUAUAGAUGUUAUACAAAUAGUUAUUCAUGUUAAGAGAUAAUAAGAAAGAAAAAGAGAGAUGAUGUCAUAGACCUAGGUUGGCCUCCUACUUGGGAAGCCAAAGAUGCCCCUCCCCAGUGCUGGAAUCAUAAGGGGGUAAGCUUGUGCUGUGCCCGGAUCCACCCUAGGGUCUUCUCCAUGCUCGGUCAGCACUCUACCAAUUGAGCCACACCUUGAGUAUUUGAGUUGGUUAAAUCAGUGCCUAAGUCAUAGCCAGGGAGGUUGAGUGUGCGUCAGACACUGAUCUCUGCUUGGAAGGAUGAAUUUGAUGGGACAAGCUCCCCGCUCUUCUGAGAAACCCACCCACUCACCCUAGGCCUUACGUCUGUUAGUUUGCUGUGAGGAGGGAAAGUCUGGGAUGUGAGUCUUGAGGGUAAGAGAGCAAG
rnacentral:lncRNA from 1 species